rnacentral:rRNA from 1 species
GACGAACGCUGGCGGCGUGCUUAACACAUGCCAGUCGAACGGAAAGGCCCUGCUUUUGUGGGGUGCUCGAGUGGCGAACGGGGGAGUAGCACGUGAGUAACCUGCCCUUGACUUUGGGAUAACUUCAGGAAACUGGGGCUAAUACCGGAUAGGAGCCCCUGCUGCAUGGAGGGGGUUGGAAAGUUUCGGCUGGUGGGGAUGGACUCGCGGCUUAUGAGCUUGUUGGUGGGGUAGUGGUUUACCAAGGCUUUGAAGGGUAGCCGGCCUGAGAGGGUGAACGGCCACAUUGGGACUAAGAGACGGCCCAGACGCGAACGGGAGGCAGCAGGGGGAAAUAUUGCACAAUGGGCGGGAGCCGGAUGAGGAGACGCCGCGUUCGGGAUGACGGCCUUCGGGUUGUAAAACGCUUUCGCCUGUGACGAAGCGUGAGUGACGGUAAUGGGUAAAGAAGCACCGGCUAACUACGUG